AAUAACUUACAAUCUCAACUCCUUUCUUUUCUGCAUGUGUAAUGUAGACAAAGAACGUAGAGAGAACGACAGAUAUUAGUGGAGCAAUUGCAGGAAAGCUAAGAAGGAAGCUCCAAUGAGAAUGGUCUGCCAAUUCCACUGCAAGUCAAUGGGAAAUAAACGCAAAUAGGAUCAAUUUCAUUCCGAAGCAUAGUUCCCAGCAAGAGAGACACAACAGCAACUGGCCCUAUGGCAAUAUCUCUUGAGCUGCCCAUGAAUGCGUAAAUCAAUGGUGGAACAAAGCUGGAGUCUGGCAGAGUUAUAACAGUACAGAUAGUCAGCACAAGUGCAAAAAAAAAAAAGGAUUUUUUUGUAAGUCACCAAAGGAGUUUAGAAACGAUGCUUACAUAAUCCAUACUGAGGAUCUAAGUUUGCCAGCUUGGAAUACCCAAUGUCCUUUUAAACCAAUAGUGAAGAAGUAACAGUUAGUCAUGAAUGAACUUUAUAUACUUGAUCAACCA